UCCUGACUGAGAUAGCUCAGUCGGCACACGGUGAGACUUUUAAUCUCGGGUCGCGAGUUCGAGUCCCGCGUUGGGCA